GACGGAGGAUGCAAGUGUUAUCCGGAAUCACUGGGCGUAAAGCGUCUGUAGGUGGUUUAAUAAGUCAACUGUUAAAUCUUGAGGCUCAACCUCAAAAUCGCAGUCGAAACUAUUAGGCUAGAGUAUAGUAGGGGUAAAGGGAAUUUCCAGUGGAGCGGUGAAAUGCGUAGAGAUUGGAAAGAACACCGAUGGCGAAGGCACUUUACUGGGCUAUUACUAACACUCAGAGACGAAAGCUAGGUUAGCAAAUGGG
rnacentral:rRNA from 1 species